rnacentral:rRNA from 1 species
UACGUAGGGAGCGAGCGUUGUCCGGAAUUACUGGGCGUAAAGGGUGCGUAGGUGGUUUCUUAAGUCAGAGGUGAAAGGCUACGGCUCAACCGUAGUAAGCCUUUGAAACUGGGAAACUUGAGUGCAGGAGAGGAGAGUGGAAUUCCUAGUGUAGCGGUGAAAUGCGUAGAUAUCAGGAGGAACACCGGCGGCGAAGGCGGCUUGCUGGACGGCAACUGACGUUGAGGCUCGAAAGCGUGGGGAGCAAACAGGAUUAGAUACCCGCGUAGUCCCUGAGCGGG